UUCCUUCCUAGCUUUGUCCUUAACCUAUAUAAAGCUUAAGAUGUAUGCAAGGUGAUAUCAUGUCCACUGAAAUAAGGUAUGGACAUUACACACAGAUUCAACAUUAGGUGAAGUUCUAUAGGUACUAACAAAAUCUGCCAGGAUUCCUGUACAAUGGCAUCCUUCUCGCACUAAUUUCCAUUUCUUACACACAUUUCUCUGACUUUCCUUUAGCAUUCCAGGAAAUAUGUAGCUGCAAAAAUAUGAGAUCCUAACCAUCAUCAGACUUUUAAAUCCAAGAGGUUUUGCAGCAUUCCUGGAGGCUUGUGUUCUGGACACAUGCAACAGCUGCAAAACUCAGUUCUUCACACUAGCAGUAGCAGGCUUCGACAUUCAGGGAAAAAACAUCCCUGAUCUGGUGAAAAUUUUCCCACAAAACCUAACAACAAACCUAUCACAGGACUUAAGACUGAGUCACCACCACAGCCUCACUCACCACACUCCUCUGGGUUCUCAUCUGAUUGGUCAUCACAGUCUGGCUCUCCAUCACACUUCCAGCGCUCAGGGAUGCACUUGCCGCUGUUGCACCGAAGUUCCGUCUUGUAGCAUGGCUUGGCUGGGGAGAGAAGACAAGGACAAGACUACAAGGGAGAGGAGGAUUCGCACUUUCCCUCCCCAUCACCACACGCUGAUUGGCUCGCUACAUCCCCCGGUUGACCAAUCAGCUUGCCUCUCCACUCCUUCCCCUAAACUGAACAUCUCUGAAAAAAUAGAACCGGGGCCUCAGAAACGUUAAAAUAUUCUACUACAGUUUUUCUGGGAGUGAGUUUAUGUACGGUGAAAAAUGUUGGAAGUUUUGUUUUGCUGUUGUCAUGAAGUUUUGUUAUUGUGUGGGAGAAGAAAGGCAUUUUCCAUCCCGGUACUACAUACUUUCGCCUCUUCGUCCUGCCUGACCUCUAUACACCACACACACACACACACACACACACACACACACACACACACACACACACACACACACACACAAGCCAAUAAAGCAAGGGUUUAUGUAGAACUGCACGAGCAUGGGAGCCAAACGUUAAGAGGACAUAGUAAUAAACUUAAUGAGGCGAAUAAGAGUGUGUGAUGUAAAGACAUAUCGUAGUUUUUCGAGGAAUUUAAUGUACCAGUGGAAUAAUUAUUAGGAAAAAGUGGUGCUUAGAAACAGUACUAUACGUGAACUUAAAGGAAAGUAUGAGGAUAUUAAAAAAGGAAAAAAAAAAAUGCAACACUAAGAUUGACUCGUGUAAAGAUGAAAGCAAAAACAAACACACACGCACCCCCCCCCACAUACACACACGUUUCUCAAUCCUUCACGUUGCCACAGAGGAAAGGUUUUGAUCCCCCAUUCUGCUGAGUACAACUGAAACGACUGAGCUGACACUGGAAAAUGUGGGCCGAGCGAGACUUCAUAUUUUCUCCUCCCCUUCCUGCCACUGUGGAUGUACAACUUGUAAAGGAAAUCAACGACCACAAAUAUUUUACUAUCUUCCUCUCUCUCUCUCUCUCUCUCUCUCUCUC